GUAGGUGAACCUGCGGAAGGAUCAUUAAAGAGAUAGGGUCUUCACGGCCCGACCUCCAACCCUCUGUUGUUAAAACUACCUUGUUGCUUUGGCGGGACCGUCUCGGUCUCCGAGCGCACUAACCCUCGGGUUGGUGAGCGCCCGCCAGAGUCCAACCAAACUCUUGUAUUAAACCAGUCGUCUGAGUAUAAAAUUUUAAUUAAAUUAAAACUUUCAACAACGGAUCUCUUGGUUCUC
rnacentral:misc_RNA from 1 species